rnacentral:sRNA from 10 species
AGGUGUAGUUCAGUAUCGUCUCGUUCAAAAGAUGAGACAUCUGGUUUGACGGACCGCUACAUCUAUUAUCCACAAAUCACAACUUUGUUAAUUAAGGUUUAACAACUUAUAAAUCAAUAAAGGAAAAGUGUUCGUCAGUCGUGGUAGACAGGUCACUACUUAGUCAUGAGUUGUUCAUGGCCGUAAAGGGUCCCAAACCCGAUACGAUUGUUUUGAAAGUUCUCUAAUCCCGCAAGGAUGAGUUUGGGUGGCAACCUAGAAGAGUGAUGAGUAAGAAUAGAGUAUAUUACCACUUUAGGAUUGGUUAAUCUAAUUGACCGUGACUGAGAGGUACUUCUCAAAAGGAAGUGGAAAUCGGAGGAAACAAUAAUCUCCUGUAAAGUCUCUCACAAGAUGGUGUAUUCUCAACCU